rnacentral:rRNA from 1 species
AUAAUGGGUCAGCGACUUAUAUUCUGUAGCAAGGUUAACCGAAUAGGGGAGCCGAAGGGAAACCGAGUCUUAACUGGGCGUUAAGUUGCAGGGUAUAGACCCGAAACCCGGUGAUCUAGCCAUGGGCAGGUUGAAGGUUGGGUAACACUAACUGGAGGACCGAACCGACUAAUGUUGAAAAAUUAGCGGAUGACUUGUGGCUGGGGGUGAAAGGCCAAUCAAACCGGGAGAUAGCUGGUUCUCCCCGAAAGCUAUUUAGGUAGCGCCUCGUGAAUUCAUCUCCGGGGGUAGAGCACUGUUUCGGCAAGGGGGUCAUCCCGACUUACCAACCCGAUGCAAACUGCGAAUACCGGAGAAUGUUAUCACGGGAGACACACGGCGGGUGCUAACGUCCGUCGUGAAGAGGGAAACAACCCAGACCGCCAGCUAAGGUCCCAAAGUCAUGGUUAAGUGGGAAACGAUGUGGGAAGGCCCAGACAGCCAGGAUGUUGGCUUAGAAGCAGCCAUCAUUUAAAGAAAGCGUAAUAGCUCACUGGUCGAGUCGGCCUGCGCGGAAGAUGUAACGGGGCUAAACCAUGCACCGAAGCUGCGGCAGCGACGCUGAUGCGUUGUUGGGUAGGGGAGCGUUCUGUAAGCCUGCGAAGGUGUGCUGUGAGGCAUGCUGGAGGUAUCAGAAGUGCGAAUGCUGACAUAAGUAACGAUAAAGCGGGUGAAAAGCCCGCUCGCCGGAAGACCAAGGGUUCCUGUCCAACGUUAAUCGGGGCAGGGUGAGUCGACCCCUAAGGCGAGGCCGAAAGGCGUAGUCGAUGGGAAACAGGUUAAUAUUCCUGUACU